CUGUCUCACCCUUUUCAACUUCUGAGGAACCCAAGGCGGCUUACAUAGCUCCAUUUUAUCCUCACAACAGCCCUCGAAGGAAGGUGGCUGCAGAGAUAGCAAGCCCGUAAUGCAGGUGUUGCCAUGGUGCUUUUCCUCCACAGCCCCUGAGGAAGCCAAAUCCAUAAUACAGCAGUAUAAAUUCUGCCCAGAACUGUGGAGACAUUUGAAAAGGGCAG